UACAGAGGGGGCAAGCGUUGUUCGGAAUUACUGGGCGUAAAGCGCACGCAGGCGGUCGCGUAAGAGUGCGGGGACAGUGGGCGGCUUAACUGCCCAAGGGUCGCACAGACUGCGUGACUGGAGGGCCAGAGAGGGACCGAAUUCCGGGUGGAGCGGUGAAAUGCGUAGAGAUCCGGAGGAACACCAAUGGCGAAGGCAGGGUCCUGGCUGGCACCUGACGCUCAUGUGCGAAAGCCAGGGGAGCGAACGGG
rnacentral:rRNA from 1 species